ACGGGUGAGUAAUGUCUGGGAAUCUGCCUGAUGGAGGGGGAUAACUACUGGAAACGGUGGCUAAUACCGCAUAACGUCGCAAGACCAAAGUGGGGGACCUUCGGGCCUCACGCCAUCGGAUGUGCCCAGAUGGGAUUAGCUAGUAGGCGGGGUAAUGGCUCACCUAGGCGGCGAUCCCUAGCUGGUCUGAGAGGAUGACCAGCCACACUGGAACUGAGACACGGUCCAGACUCCUACGGGAGGCAGCAGUGGGGAAUAUUGCACAAUGGGCGCAAGCCUGAUGCAGCCAUGCCGCGUGUGUGAAGAAGGCCUUCGGGUUGUAAAGUACUUUCAGCGAGGAGGAAGGCAACGGGGUUAAUAACCUUGCUGAUUGACGUUACUCGCAGAAGAAGCACCGGCUAACUCCGUGCCAGCAGCCGCGGUAAUACGGAGGGUGCAAGCGUUAAUCGGAAUGACUGGGCGUAAAGCGCACGCAGGCGGUUUGUUAAGUUGGAUGUGAAAUCCCCGGGCUUAACCUGGGAACUGCAUUUGAAACUGGCAAGCUUGAGUCUUGUAGAGGGGGGUAGAAUUCCAGGUG
rnacentral:rRNA from 1 species